CCCCGGGUGGCUCCGGCCCCGCGGGUGGCUCCGGCCCGGCAGCGGAGCCCUGGGAAGGCGGCGGAUCUCCGGGGCACGGCGUGGAUGCGUUCCGCUCUCUUCCCCACCAAAAAGCUGCGGGAACGGGAAGCGGAGGGUUUGUCGGUCUCGGCUGUCCGUCCUCUCGGCUGUCCCAGCACCAAUUGUAAGCUGGGAGACCCAGCCGGGGGAGUUCCCGUGGGCUGAGGGCUCCCCCUCUCUGCUCUCCGGCAACGCUCCGGGGGGUGGGGAGAGGUGCUGCCGGAGGGAAGGGGUGCCGGGGGUACUUUCGGCUCAGUGCUCGAGGCGUUUCCCCCUUAAAGAAUCCACCUCGGCGGCCGAGAGAAGCUGCUCCCGGCUCCCCCGUUCCUUUCCAUCUCUUUCUGUUUUUUCCCCCUUCUUUCCCCUUCCUGCCAACCGAGAACCUUCGGGGCGGGCUGCGGAGGGAGUGCGGCUGCUUGGGAAUUCACCUUGCUGAGAGCGAAGGGAAACUCCCCGUCUGCCUCCUUCCAGCGGGGCUGACAACCCGGCAGGGCCCCGCUAACCCCCGCGCGAGGAGGCACCGGCUGGCAGAACGCGGCCGUGCAGCAGCCGCCGCCAGCCCUCCCCGUCCAAGAAUGCGGGGCCCGGCUCCUGCGGGGCGGGGGUCAGCCCGAGGAGGCAGCGCGGAGACCGAGCCCUUAGCUACGAGCACGGGGGAGGCUGCGGGGGGGCUCUUGGCCUCCCAGCGCGGAGCGCGGCCUCCCCCCCACCGGGCUGGGGUCGGUUGCUUUUCAUUUGGGUCCGGGACCGGCGUCUCCCGGCCGCGGGGCGUGUGCGGAAGGAGGUGGGCUUCGCGCAGGUUGUGAGGGGCUGGUGGUGUGCCACCGCUGAUUACACGCUCUCUACUAAAGAUGGUAUCCGACAUGAGAUAAUGAGGCUCCGUGACCGGCCCCAGGUUCCCUUUAAGUUUUCCCAUGGACUCGAGCUGUCGCCAGUUCACAAAACGGCAGUGAUUUCUCCAAGUCGCCUCCCAGCCUCCCUUUGGUGUUCGUGAAAAGCCUCGCUCCGUCUCUCUCUCUUUUUUUUUUCCUUGGGGACUCCAAAGGGAAUCAAGCGAAAUGAAGUGAUCUGCGAGACAGGCGGGGAGCGCGCGUUGUGGAGGGGAUUUAGAGCAAAUCUGUAUUCGCUGUGAAACGUCCCGUGCUGGAAAACAAACAGCACCGGGGUGGAGGGGUAGGAGGGCGGGUGGUUGCAGAAGGAGCUCAGCCUUCGGGGGCGACUCCUGCGGCCGCCGGGCGGGGGGCGAUGGCUGCCGUUCGGGGAUGGCUCCGCGCUCCGCUCCGACGCUGGGGCCGGGCAGCUCGUUUCUAAUCUUGGGAGGGAGCGAAUAUAAAAGAGGAAUUUAUUAGCUUUCAGGCCAUCCGAGGAAUAAACAUUGAUUUUAUUGACCUAAUUAUGGGCCAAAUGACUCCUUCCAUCGAUCACGUAAAAUACUUCAUUUGGAGAAAAACAGGCGCGGGCGCCCGGAGGCGGGGAGAGCGGGUGGAUGUGCUGCGAAAGGGAAAGAAAAGCAAAAGCUAGAAAAUGUAUGGAGAGGUUUUAAUGCAGUUAACGUGCCCGUCGCGCUGCAGCGAGAGCCCUGUCUCCCAGACGUUGCAGUGCGGAUGUUUUGCAAACUUAAAGCUUUUAUGUCGAAUUCCAAUCCGGCCGGUCAAUUUGGCUAAAAUAGCAUUAAACAAAUGGACAGCGGUUUAUUUAUAUUCCGCCCACCGUAUUUUAUAGACAGAGAAGAGUUAUUUGAAAUGUAUUUUACAAGCACAAGACAACACGUCGUUUCGGACCGAGAGCAGCGAUUUCUCGUAAUUAGAGUAGACUCAACACUAAUAAAGCAGCAAACAGGCUUUUCUCUGGGCUUAAACCCUGCUACUGUCCGUAGCGCUUUCCUGCGGGCUGGGAUUGCAGAUUCGUUGGCGAGGGAGGGAGCGCACCUGAAGGCACCUGUCCGGGGCUCUGGGCUGCUUCCCUGCUCUUGCCAGGGCGGGCAGCGCUCAUGAAAAGCGAGUUUUUAAUUUUUUCUUGCUGGCCAGUGACAGCGAGACCUGCCUUUGGAUUUAUUUGCUUGAGAAUUGGCGGGGGGGGGGGGGGGGGAAGGGUGGGCGCUGUAUUUCGGGGGAGGGGGCGGCGCAGGACGAGACGCAGUUUUGGCAGGAUGUUUGCUCCCUUCUUAUGUCACUUGAGAUAUUAGUUCUCACCCACCUUCCUCCAGCCCUAAGUGCGCGGGGCUCUGGCGGAUACUUUCAGCACAGCUGUUGCACAAAGCUCGAUCUUUCCCUUUCCAGCCUUUAAACUCUGCUCCGCAUUUCUCUCUCCCCAACGCGUUAUUACUCCCUCGAGACGAGCUUCGGAGCUCAGGGGCUUCCUUCCUACCCCCUGCAGCAAAUCGUGACGGCCGAACUCCUAUUGCCUGCAGCCGAACUCCCCGAGUCCCUCGGUCCCAUAACCCGGUGCAAAAACGCCGGGGCCGGGCCGGUGCUGCACCGUGCCCGCACCAACCUCUGC
ensembl:lncRNA